UUGAAGACUAAGAAAGUAGAAUCCUGGAAAUCAAGCUGACUCUGCUUUUAGUCUCCUUAGGAAGAAUAGGUCUUGCUUACAAAAUAAAUUCAAAACCUACUUAUCUACCAACAUGG
ensembl:scaRNA